rnacentral:rRNA from 1 species
UACAGAGGUCUCAAGCGUUGUUCGGAUUCAUUGGGCGUAAAGGGUGCGUAGGCGGCGCGGUAAGUCGGGUGUGAAAUCUCGGAGCUUAACUCCGAAACUGCAUUCGAUACUGCCGUGCUUGAGGACUGGAGAGGAGACUGGAAUUUACGGUGUAGCGGUGAAAUGCGUAGAUAUCGGGAGGAACACCCAAGGCGAAAGCACUCUGCUGGGCCGACACUGACACUGAGAGACGAAAGCUAGGGGAGCAAAUGGG